GAGAGAAAAUUAAGGGAUUUGGAUGGGAGUGGUUGGACGGUUUUAGGAGAGAUUUGAGGGAUUUUGGGAAAAUGUGGUGCAGAAAUCUUCAUUUUUGUUAUUUUGGUUUGUUUUUCUUUUUUGUUCUUUCAAAUUCCCAAAGUUCUCUUUUCUUCUGUCGUUCUCCUUCCCCAACUCUGUCGAACUUCUAUCGAAAUUUUUUUCUUUUUCAUUCUUGCCAAUUUUUGGCCAUUGGUUUAUUUCCUUUCUCGUUUUGAUUGCCAAGAGUUUUCUCUUUUCUUGCCGACUUUUUCUUCUUCUUCCCUCACUGUGC
rnacentral:lncRNA from 1 species